UACGAAGGGGGCGAGCGUUGUUCGGAGUUACUGGGCGUAAAGGGUGUGUAGGCGGUUGUUUAAGUUUGGUGUGAAAUCUCCCGGCUCAACUGGGAGGGUGCGCCGAAUACUGAAUGACUCGAGUGUGGGAGAGGUGAGUGGAAUUCCUGGUGUAGCGGUGAAAUGCGUAGAUAUCAGGAGGAACACCGGUGGUGUAGACGGCUCACUGGACCAUAACUGACGCUGAGGCGCGAAAGCUAGGGGAGCAAACAGG
rnacentral:rRNA from 1 species